GUCCACGCCCUAAACGAUGUCGACUGGUUGUUGGGGGUUUGACACUCUCAGUAACGAAGCUAACGCGUGAAGUCGACCGCCUGGGGAGUACGGCCGCAAGGUUAAAACUCAAAGGAAUUGACGGGGACCCGCACAAGCGGUGGAUUAUGUGGAUUAAUUCGAUGCAACGCGAAAAACCUUACCUACCCUUGACAUGUCCGAGAGGCUUAAGAGAUUAGGCUGUGCCCGAAAGGGAAUCGGAACACAGGUGCUGCAUGGCUGUCGU
rnacentral:rRNA from 1 species